rnacentral:lncRNA from 1 species
CCAUUACGGGGCUCGAUGCUGAUCUGAGCUUUGUUUCCAUGUUCUGGGGGGGAUUUUUUUUUUUCCUUUUGUUUUUCCUGAAGAAAUGAGGUUUUGUUCAUUUUUCUUCUUCAGCAGGAGGAAAUUUCCAAAGGAGCAGUCACUUUGAAUCAACGUCUUUCCCUUCAAAGAGGGCCUGUGCUGUUUGGGGAUGUUUGGCUGUUCCUUUUUGAACCUCUCCAGGAUGUGACUUGGGUGAAGCAGGACGAAAGGGCAGAGGGCUUGGUGCUUCACCGUGGCCCUUCUCAGGUCCAGGACAUCGGUGCUGAUAUGAGGGACAUCAGGACAUGGAGCCCCAUUGCUGUGAUACCCACCAAAUGGAUGCAUUUUCCUCCCCAUGGGAUCUUGUGGCCAGCAUCAUGGCUAUGCAAAGCUCAGCUCUCUCCCCAUCCCUGCACCCCUCCAUCCAUCACAUCUCCAUUUGGCUGUGCUGAGGCCACCCCUCACCUUGCAGAUGAAGUGAGUUCAGGACCAAGCAGAACUGAAGGUUCCAGGAGUAGAAAGACAAAAAUCCCCCUCACCUCCUCCUGAGUCCUCAAAACUUGGGACGUUGCUUAGUGACAGCGUUGCUGCUCUCAAUUCCAGAGAGAGAACUCGGAGAACCCGAGCUCUUAAAAGCAAGAAAAUGGCUAUUUGAGGACCUGAUAAUUCAUGUUCCUCGAUAGCCCCUUCCCUGCAGCCCACACCAGCAGCAGGCAAUGAAUGAAGCAGCCUGGCCACUCCUCCUCCCCUUUCUGCUGGCCAGCUCCAUUUAUUUUUUUACUAUUAUUCUGCUGUUGUUAGGAUUGCUAUUCUGUGAUCCCAUUUAAAAUCAUUGAUUUACCACCGAGUCCUCAAUAAGCAAUUUGGAGCAAUUGGAGCUGUUAUCUUACAAUAGAUCACACAGUGCUGGGAACGGUGGGAAAGGGGGAAGGGAGGGGAGGAGAGGGAAAAGAAGAAAGAAAAAUGGUUGGGGCUGCCUACGUGAUUUGGGACCCCCAGCCCCAGGUACCAGCUGGGCUGGAGCCAUGGGGUCCUGCCCCAGCCAGGCUUUGAAUCACAGAACCAUUAAGGCUGGAAAAGACUUCUAAGAUCAGCUAGUCCAACCAUCAAACCACCCCCACCAUGCCCACUAAAUGGAAAGGGGAAUUAAGUCCCCAUCAUUCCUCUUAGAAACCCCUGCAGAGCAGCUAGGCUGCCCAGCCUUGCUCCCAUCCCUGCAGACCAGCCUGGUGCAGAGGGAACCACCACAGCCUGGGCUGUGCUGGUUGCUCAUGCAAGCCAAAAACCAGGAGAAUGCUCUAGGGAAACAUCUCAGCAGAAGUAAGCUUGCUAGUUAAAAGCUCCCCAAAGGCUCCAUCUUUCCAGGAGGAAGAAGGAGAAAUCAACAGCAGUGUUAUUUCCCAUUAUGCCGAGGCAGAUGGUUAUCCCCGUGCCAAGUCUGAAUCACUGGAAUCUCCCCCCAGAAAACACCAUUCCUGUGCUGGAGUGACUCAG